CCUACGGGCGGCAGCAGUGGGGAAUAUUGGACAAUGGGGGGAACCCUGAUCCAGCCAUGCCGCGUGUGUGAAGAAGGCCCUCGGGUUGUAAAGCACUUUCAGUGAGGAAGAACGCCUGGUGGUUAAUACCCAUCAGGAAAGACAUCACUCACAGAAGAAGCACCGGCUAACUCCGUGCCAGCAGCCGCGGUAAUACGGAGGGUGCGAGCGUUAAUCGGAAUUACUGGGCGUAAAGCGCGCGUAGGUGGCUUGAUAAGCCGGUUGUGAAAGCCCCGGGCUCAACCUGGGAACGGCAUCCGGAGCUGUCAAGCUAGAGUGCAGGAGAGGAAGGUAGAAUUCCCGGUGUAGCGGUGAAAUGCGUAGAGAUCGGGAGGAAUACCAGUGGCGAAGGCGGCCUUCUGGACUGACACUGACACUGAGGUGCGAAAGCGUGGGUAGCAAACAGGAUUAGAUACCCGGGUAGUC
rnacentral:rRNA from 1 species